rnacentral:rRNA from 1 species
AGGUAGCAUAAUCAUUUGUUAUCUAAAUGAUAACUAGUAUGAAUGGUCUGACGAGAAAAUAACUUUCUAAAAAGAAAAGAUAAAAAUUUAUUUUAAAGUAAAAAAGCUUUAUAGCCUUAGAAAGACGAGAAGACCCUAGAACCUGUUCUAUUCAUAUAGUUUGUUGGGGUGACAUUAUUCAAAACAAAUAACUAUUAAAACUUAUUAAUUGACUCUAUCUAUCUUUAUUAAAAAAAAAAAAGGUACUCUAGGGAUAACAGCAUAAUCUUCUUCUAGAGCCCUAAUCGACAAGAAAGAUUUUGACCUCGAUGUUGAAUUGAUAUUUCUUUCUAAAGCAGAAU